rnacentral:rRNA from 1 species
UACAGAGGUCUCAACCGUUGUUCGGAUUCAUUGGGCGUAAAGGGUGCGUAGGCGGUCGGGUAAGUCGGAUGUGAAAUCUCAGGGCUCAACCCUGAAACUGCAUUCGAUACUGCCUGGCUAGGGUACUGGAGAGGAGACUGGAAUUUACGGUGUAGCAGUGAAAUGCGUAGAUAUCGUAAGGAAGACCAGUGGCGAAGGCGGGUCUCUGGGCCGAUAUUGACGCUGAGGAGCGAAAGCGUGGGGAGCAAACAGG